GACGAACGCUGGCGGCGUGCUUAACACAUGCAAGUCGAACGGAAAGGCCCCUUUGGGGGUACUCGAGUGGCGAACGGGUGAGUAACACGUGAGUAACCUGCCCUUGACUUCGGGAUAACUUCAGGAAACUGGGGCUAAUACCGGAUAGGAAUCCUUGCUGCAUGGUGGGGGUUGCAAAGCUUCGGCGGUUUUGGAUGGACUCGCGGCUUAUCAGCUUGUUGGUGGGGUAGUGGCUUACCAAGGCUUUGACGGGUAGCCGGCCUGAGAGGGCGACCGGCCACAUUGGGACUGAGAUACGGCCCAGACUCCUACGGGAGGCAGCAGUGGGGAAUAUUGCACAAUGGGCGGAAGCCUGAUGCAGCAACGCCGCGUGCGGGAUGACGGCCUUCGGGUUGUAAACCGCUUUCAGCAGGGGCGAAGCUUGUGGUGACGGUACCUGCAGAAGAAGCACCGGCUAACUACGUG
rnacentral:rRNA from 1 species